rnacentral:rRNA from 16 species
CUGUUUAUCAAAAACACAGGUCUCUGCAAAUUUGUAAAAAGAUGUAUAGAGACUGACGCCUGCCCAGUGCUGCAAGACUAACUUUUAAAGUAUUUGCUUUAAAAAGAAUUCCCAGUAAACGGCGGCUGUAACUCUGACGGUCCAAAGGUAGCGAAAUUCCUUGGCAUUUAAUUGGUGUCCCGCAUGAAUGGCGUAACGACUGUCCUACUGUCUCCAACACAAUCUCAGUGAAAUUGAAAUUUCCGUGAAGAUGCGGAAUACCUGCGGCUAGACGGAAAGACCCCGUGCACCU